UGCUUACCUGUGAUGUUGAAAAAUAAUUGUCUGAACAAAUGACUUCGGUAUGAUAUCAGUAUUUUCUCUGAGGUAAGCG